rnacentral:lncRNA from 1 species
GGUGUGGAAUGUGAGGCCUCCAUUGCUGAGUACUUUCACCACUGUGAUUGAGGAAAUUUUCAUUUGGUAAGAAAUUGAGCUCAUGAUGAAGACGUGUUUACUAAUAGCUGUCUGUACUUCUGUUUUAUUUUUACCGUACUUGGGAAUUGUAUUGCCUCUAGGUUUAUCUAUCUUGAAUUCUAAGCAUAACUGGGAAAUGAGUUAAAAAUUCCAUAUAAAGAUUUGGCUUUUCUUUGACCAAUAAUGCAGUGGAAUGCAGAAGUGGGAGGUACAGGUAGAAAGAGAGAGAGGAAAUGCAUUUUCCCUGGUGCAGAGUAACCUUCUGGUUCUGUUAAAGUUAAAAAAAAAUUACUAGCUAUUCUGUGUUAAAAGUAGCCUUAAAUUUUUUAAAUUACUAUGAUAUUGAGGCUGAGCACAGUGGCUCAUGCCUGUAAUCCCAGCACUUUGGGAGGCCAAGGCAGGCGGAUCACCUGAGGUCAGGAGUUCGAUACCAGCCUGGCCAACGUGGUGAAACCCCAUCUCUACUAAAAAUACAAAAAUUAGCCAAGUAUGGUGGCAGGUGCCUGUAAUCCCAGCUAGUUGGGAGGCCGAGGCGGAAGAAUCUCUUGAACCUGGGAGGCGGAGUUUGCAGUGAGCCGAGAUCGCACCACUGUACUCCAGCCUGGGGGACUGAGCAAGACUCUGUCUCAAAAAUAAAUAAAUAAAUAAAUAAAUAAAUACAUAAAUAAAUAAAUAAAAUAAAUCACUGUGAUAUUGGACAAACAUUAUCAUAAAAAUUUAUUUUUUAAUAAAGAACAAAACCACAUUAUCAUAUAAGUCUGGCAAAUCUGCUUUGAUUUUUUCUAGAUUGAGUUAUUGGAUCUCUGUUAAACUGUUAUUAGAUAGAACAAAUAUAUGCAUUAUACUAUUAUCUUCUUUUCCCCUGGGCCCUUCUAUUUAAUUAGGACAAGGUAACUUGAAAACAUGUAAAGUACUGUCAUCAAAAACAUAUAUCUACUGAAUGCCUCCCCUUACCCUCAUUGGCCAAGUGUCAUAUUAGGUAUACUGAAGAUACAAAGAUCCUUGCCUUCUGGGACUUUACAUUUUAGUGUCAGAGACAGAAGAGAUGUAUGAGAAAAUAAACACAGAAGAAAGAGCAGAUGCUAUGAAUCCCCAUGACACAUCUGUUUUCAAAUGAGAAACAGCAUAAACAAUGUGAAGGCUGAAUUCCACACAUCAUUCUCGGGUCCAAUUUAUUUGCCAACUCUAGGAAAGAUAAACUCAGAUAUUAUUGUGAUAUUCACACAACUAUCACCAUGAAGAACAGAUUUUCUGAUUCAAGGAGAAGGAAAAAAACAGCUUUCUCUUCUUGAGAACUGAAUUAUUCUUCCCUCUUAACACUUCUGUGAAUUUUUCCUGCUAAAUAUAACAGCCAAAACAAGGGGCCUGAAGCCCAAUUUGGUUGCAUUGCAAGACAAAUAACAUCCAUACUAAUAACAGCAGCUAUAAUGUAUUGAACCCCUAUUGUAAUAGGCUCCAUGUUAAGCAUAUUUACAUAUAUCUUCUCAUUCAAACAUCAUAACAAUCCUGGAAGAAACGUGCUAUGAUGCCCUUUGAGUAAAAGACCAGAAGGAUUAAGUAAAAUGACCAAGUAUUAUGCAUAAACCAUGGCUGGGCAGGAUUUGCACCCAGGUCCAUCCAUCUAAAAACCCGUUUCUUUUCAUUACCUCAGAAGAGAAGUGGUUAUUCCAUUUCCCUAGGAUGAGUAAUUCCUCUGUGAAGGAAAUACCAACAUUCUUUCAAUGCUUAUCUACAGAGGAGGGUGGAGGAGGAACGGAUAAGGUGGAAAAAGUCAGUGAGGAUUAGGAAUGACAUCCCAAGGCUGAAUCACUUAUCCAUUUAUUUAAUCAAACAAGUUUAUAUUGAAGGCCAAAUAGGUGCUGGAUACAGGAGACUGGACUGUAAAAUAGAGAUGCAUCAUGCCACUCAGGGAGCUACAGUCUCAUGGAGAAGACAGACCAAGAAGACAAGCACGUCAAAUAAGGAAACAAACAGGGCACCCAAAUAGGGAAUCAUGGGAGGUGGUGGUGGCCCGCUUUGAAUACCACUGUUGCUGUUUACUUUCCAGCUUUCUCUAAGGAAGUGACAUAUAAGCUGAGCCUGAAAGAUGAAGAGGAGCAGAUUGUAUGCAGAGCAGAGGGAAGAGCAAGCUGAUGGAGGUGACUAAUCAGAGGGCCUGAUGGUCAAGUGCUCAAGGUGGAGUUAAAGGAAACCCUGCUUUCUUGACAUCACCAGCUGCUCAGAAGCCUUCAGCAGGCAUCCUAGACCUUCUCCUUCUCUAAGGGAUGGGCCUCACCUACUUUCUUCAGCUGAGACCUGGCACAGACCCUUGGAGCUUCUAAGGACCCCAUUGUAGCCUUGGGGUGGAGGCCCAUGGCACCACUGCCCUCUCCCUGGGAUAAAGGUCCUGGGGCCACUUCUCAGGGCUGUGUCCCUCUAUCAGGAGGGUCUCACUUUGUCACCCCACCUGGAGUGUAGUGGCGCAAUCUCAGUUCACUGCAGCCUCCGCCUCCCAAGUCAAGCGACUCUCCUGCCUCAGCCUCCUGAGUAGCUGGGAUUACAGGCAUGCACCACCACACCUGGCUAAUUUUUGUAUUUUUAGUAGACGCAGGGUUUCGCUAUGUUGUCUAGGCUGUUCGCAAACUCCUGACUUCAAGUGAUCCACCUACCUCACCCUCCCAAAAUGCUGGGAUUACUGGCGCCUUGCCUAAAGUUGGUAUUCUAAUUUUCAAAUAAGGAAAUUGGAGCUCAGAAGGUUAUCCGAUUUUACCAGGGACACACAGUUGACAAGCAGCAGAAUCAGAGAUGGAACUCAGAUCUGUGCAUGUCCAAAGUUAGUGCACUCAACCACUUCCCUGUAUGCUUCUAUGGAUCAAUCAACAUUGAAACAAUUUUUUCUUGGUCUCCAGCCUUUAAAAACAAGUCUCUUUAAGCUGAGUAACUGACUUAAAGUAAUAGGUGCAUGGAAUCGGUGCUAUUUGUCCAAACUGCUCCCAUCUCUUCCACACUGAUCUUGUUCAAGUUCUCAAACAUGACAAUAUUUUCUGGAUGCUUUUCAAAUAUAUCAUUUUACAUGUUCGAAAUCUCUUAAUACCACUCAGGAGUGAGUAAAUAUUAGCAGCCAUUAGUUAUGGAGUAGUAAACUGAGCUAGAAAUAAGAUGAAUGACAAGUUCUAGAACGUAACAGCGGUGGGAGGUGUCUCAGCAAAGCAGCAAUGGAGCCAAUAAAGGUUUAUGGACUCAUAAGUCCACAGUAAGAAAUGUCCUACAUGCAGUGUAGGACUCAGGAAGUUGAGACCUCAGAGUGCUUGCUUGGUUUUGAACUCCAUAUCACGGAACCAUAAAUACAUACAUAGUCAUAUGCAUGAGUCCUCAGGUUCUAGUAACUGAUUCACAAACUCUUCCUGGAAGUCCUUUGGUAAUAAAUAUCAGAAUUACGAGCAAUGUGUUUUCUAAGUCAGAACAACACACUGUAUCCAAUUAGUCUCAGCGAAGUCCCAGUAAAGGAAUUUCAUCCAAUCUGACUCAGAACAACACGGUGGUGACAUCAGGUCCAAUACAGACCCUGCAGAGAAAAUGAAUGGGUGGGGAUAGACUGAGCACAUGUGCACUUUUCUGGGUCCCUCCUCUGCGGCGCAGGCCACAGGCAGUCCUUUCUAGUAAAGCCUGUGUGAAACCCUGGUGGUGAAGGAGUCUUAUCUUGACAGCUUCCGCUGUAUCACAACAUUCACAACAGUAUGUCAGUAAAAGGCAAAAAGAAACAACCCAAUUAUAUUGAACCACAGAUGUGUAGAUGUGUACACAGAUGUUCCCCCCCAUCCCCACUCCAAAAAAGGAAGUUCCCCGGAUGUCUUGCUCCGUAGCAAUUGUCACAUGCAUUUUAAAGAAAUUCAGCAUCUUUGUGUCACAUUCUCAAGAUAGUUUCAAAUUAACGUUUGACUACUUGAGAGGCUGAAGUGGGAGGAUUGAUUGAGGCUAGGAGUUCAAAGCCAGCCUGGGCAACAUAGUGAGACCCCCAUUUCCAAAAAAAAAAUAAAAGAGUAAAAAAACAGUUAUCUUCGGCAUUGGAGUCAAUGGGGUGUAUGGCUAAAUAUCAGAAACACCACACUUCCUUAGCUAACUUUACUUAGAGAUAUUUGUUCUGAUUCAAGCUUUGUUCUUUUAUUCCCUUUUAUUUAUGAAUUUAUGAAGAGCACAGAUACCAUUUACAUAUUUGUUUUUAAUGUAUUUUCAAAAUUCUGACUGAAAAGUAAAAACCCCUUGCCUCCAAUUUGCUUCAGUUUGUUGGGCAAAAAUAGGUCUCCUUUUCAUCACUGCUUACACAAACCAUUUUAUUAAUAAUUUAUCACAAUGUUCCACAGCAGAGAUAAAGCAGACACCCACAUGAUCAUUAUGUGUUCAUAAUGUGGGCUCUGCAGUGUCUUAAAUUUCCCUGCACCUGCUGUUACCUGCUCGCUCCCUUCUCUCUAAGGUUUGCAUUUGCUGUGAUGCUGAUAAGCUUUAGCGCCACACUUUUCACUGCCUGGAUAGGUAACUGUUGACUAGGAAAAGCAGACACAGGUUGCAUCAUGUGUUGCCACGAUCUUAUUUUCACCCUCCUUGAACUAACUGCAGUCAAGAGAAUUUGCCCUACAGAUGGGUGAGAGUUUUCACAGUGCCCUGGGAUCCUCCAAUUCUUGGGUCCUUAGUCUUCCUCGCCAGCCUCCCCACUCCCCUCACACACAGUUCUUUCUUUGCUCUGCUUCUGAAGACAUUUGAACCUGUUCUAAAUCCCUCCCCUUCCUUCCAUAAAGAGAGCUUCCUUAGAUCAUUUUUCUCAGCCUUUCUCUGCUUGCUGAAUUUAAACCUUGGCACAAAGGUCACAGGCAGACAGAAGGCACUUUGCUGAAUAACUUGUGUUUGAACUUCUAGAACAGUUACUUUGGGUUUUUUUAAGGUACUCAUGUCAUGUUUGGCAGUGAAACGUUCAGUGUUGCAAAAAAUAAAAAUGUCAACUUGCAAAAUCUUUCUCCUUCAACUCUACAUCCGUAGAGAAAAAUAAAAGAUGUAUAAUGCCUUUCACCCAAGAAUGCUGAAAUCAUUAAUAAGCAUCAAGUAAAUUAUUCUGAGAUGUAAUUGAUGACAAAGAUCGAAAUCUUCGAACCAAAGGUUUCACAAGUACUAUUAUUUACAAUGAAAAAUGUGAGACCUGCAUACCAGCCCUGUACACGAUAGCAUUUGGUAAAUAACGACUGACUGUUGAUGAUAUUCACAGAAAGUCAGUGACUGACUAGCAAAGAAGGGAGUGACAUGUACCAAUGUACCAGAAGAAGGAAGCAAGGCUUAAUCUACGUCAGGCCUUUUUGCUAUUUCUCGUAGACCCCAGGGAAUACAUAUGUCCUUCCUCUGGUCUGUGCAGUGAUGCUGCACAAUUAGAGGAAACGCUGAGCAUCGGAAGCCAGGCUUUCUCCCAACAAACCCAGAACCCCCAACAACACACCGCCUAGUCCCAGCUUCUCAGAAGCACAUGCUAUGAAGCUCUCUAUGCUGCUGAACAUUCCCAGGAUGACAGAAACACAGAACCUGGGGAGGGUCCCUGGUUCUCUGGGGAGGUGUCUCUUCUCUUCAGUCCCCUUCUUCUAAUGGGGUUAGGAUAAAUGAAGGGGACUGGUGAAUUGCUCUACAGCCUAUUUGCCAUGUUAACAAAGUAGGCUACCUAGCCCCUCAGAGCUUGUAAGCUGAGAAUAGUGUUUUCCUGAUUUGGCUGAUAUAAAGGUCUGCAUAACAGUAACAAGUUGUGUGGAUCCCUCCAGAUUCACACUUUACCCUUCUUUCCCCAUUCCCUUCCCUUCCCUUCCCUUCCCUUCCUCUUUCUUUCUUUCUUUCCUUCCUUCCUUCCUUACUUCUUUUUAGUCUUUCUUUUUUAAUUGAGAUAAGGUUUCACUAUGUUGCCCAGGCUGGUCUCACACUCCUGAGCUCAAGUGAUCCUCCCACCUUGACCUCCCAAAGUGCUGAGAUUGCAGGUGUGAGCCACCAUGUCUGCUCCCCCCACCCCCCCCUUUUUUUUUUAGAAACAAGGUCUCACUCUGUCUCCCAUUCAGAGCAAGUACAAUGGCACAAUGCUAGCUCACUGAGCCUCAAAUUCCUGGGCUCAAUCAAUUAUCCUGCCUCAGCCUUCCAAGUAGCUGAGACUACAAAUGUGUACCACCACACUAGUUAAUUUUCAAAUUAUUUUUUGGAGAGGUGGAGUCUCACUGUGUUGCCUAGGCUGGUCUCACACUCCUGGCUUCAAGUGAUCCUCCCACUUUGGCUUCCCAAAGUACUGGGAUUACAGGUGUGAGCCACCUCACUUGGUUGUUUUACCCUUUUUGAUAAGUGCUAUGUCUUGGGAGGUUGACCCAUAUGAAUGGCUUCAACAAGUUCUCUUGCCACCUGACUUUCUAUGGGAUAUGCCCAUGGAGGCACCAGAGGAUGAUCAGAGUUGAGAGAAGAGGGAGAUUCAGAAAUUUACUCUCCAAGCUCCUUCCUUGCCAGGUUAAAUGUAUCUCCCAAAAGUUCAUGUGUUGGAAAUUUAAUUAUCAAUGUAACAAUAUUAAAAGGUGGAACUUUUAAUAGUUGAUUGGGUCAUGAGGGCAGAGCCCUUAUGAAUGGAUUAAUGCUGUUAAUGCAGGAAUUAGCUAGUUCUACUGAGACCAGAUUAUUACAAAAACAAGCUUGACUCAGUCUUGUGAUCUCUUUUGCACAUGCUCACUUGCCCUUUUGCUUUUGUGGCAUGUUACAAUGUGGUACUAAAGCCCUUGCCAGAAGCUGCUGCCAUGCCCUUGGAUUUCCCAGCCUCCAGAACCAUGAGCCAAAUAAAUGUCUUUUCUUUAUGAACUACUCAGUCUCAAGUAUUCUGUUAUAGCAACAGAAAACAAAGACAGAAAACAGGUACCAAGAAGUGAAGUUGUUGCUAGAAUAAAUAUCUGAAAAUGUGGAAGUGGCUAUGGGAUUGGGUAAUGGGUAGAUGCUGAAAGAAUCUGGAGAAACAGGCAGUGGGUCAGCUGCUUCAUGCACAGAAGCCUACAAAAGAAGCCUUCUUCUUCUUCUUUUUUUUUUUUUUUUGAGACCGAGUUUUGCUCUUGUUGCCCAGGCUGGAUGCAAUGGCACAAUCUUGGCUUACCACAACCUCUGCCUUCUGGGUUCAACCAAUUCUCCUGCCUCAGCCUCCCAAGUAGCUGGGAUUACAGGCAUGUGCCACCAUGCUUGGCUAAUUUUGUAUUUUUAGUAGAGACUGGGUUUCUCCACAUUGAUCAGGCUUGUCUUGAACUCCUGACCUCAGGUGAUCCACCCGCCUUGGCCUCCCAAAGUGUUGGGAUUACAGACGUGAGCCACUGUGCCCAGCCCACAGGCAGCCUUCUUCUAAACAGCUACCCUCACUCCUGUCAGCACUAGGGUCCCACUCCUCCUCGCCCUGGGGUGCUAUGCCAUCCUUUGUGGUUUCCUUAAACCCUACCCACACUUUGUAAACCGUUUCUUUGUUGAAUUCUCAUCAAAUUACCAAGAGGAAAUAUGGAAUAUCUUUUCUACCAGGACUUUGAAUGAUGCAUAUGUGAAACAGCUGGCUAUAUACUAGAGGCUCAGGAAAUGGCAAUGAUGUUACUGACUCUGUAAUUUAGGUUAGCUUCAUAAUGUAUUUUAAGCAGCCCUGUUUCUUCUUUGCAAAAGGAAAUAUCCUGCAAAAAAUAUAGUUCUGCAUCUGUAUCUACAAAGUAGUUUGAAAGUGGAAUUCAUGAAUGAAUUCAGUCAAAUAGCCACUAUACUGAAGAGGGUAGAUUGUUCAUAUAUAGCCAACUUUCAUCAGGCUAGAUAUGACCUCAAAAACUGAAAUCAGAUUUGGAAAAAUCAGAGGCCUUGGGACCAUGAAUCAGUCUUGCUUCCUAGAGGAUGGGUACAGGCUUACCUCCUGGAAAAAAGAACAUUUAUUCUAACAAUCUGUUAGCAGGCCUGCAGUGGUUCUCAAAGUGCAGGUCCCAGCAUCAUCUGGGAACACAUUAGAAACGGAAACUCUCUAGCCCCAUCCCCAAGCCUGCAGAAUCAGAAGCUCAUGGGUUGCAGCCCAGUAAUAUGUGUUUUAACAGACCCUCCAGAGGACUCUGAUGCACACUAAAAUUUCAGAACUACUUCACCUGAGGGGUUUCUGGAAGUAGACAAAAGCCAACUUUCAGGAGUCUAGGUAAGCAUUUGGCAUCAGAUGACCUAACAAGCAGUAAAGAAUUCAAGAGCUGGUCAAUUCGUAAACAAAGAACUUUGUUUGCUUUGGGGAAACUCUGUCAUUAGGGAAUAGGAACAGGACCUCUGUGUAUGGUUCAGAGAAGGACUCUAGUACCUGCAGGGUGAGUGGAGAGCAGGUACAAUCAAAGCAACACCCCAAUAUUACAGGGACUGAAGGCUAAGUGGAUUCGGAAGCAAGGCAUUAUGCACUGGAAAUAAAUGAAGAACCCUUAUGGGGACUGGGGCCCUCAUCAGUCUGGGUGUCUGGAAUAGCUACAAGCCCAGUUAACAGAAUCAGAACUCAGGAUUAGUGCUGAAGAAGCAUUUUGAGUAGUUCAAUGCUUGGGAUGUGAGUGUUUGACCACAGCUUUUAAAGUCCCUGGUGCCUCAAAUUAGGACUAGUCCUAAGGGCCACAAUGUAGCUGUUUCUUUUGGUGACAACCACACAUUUUGGCUGUGGGAAGGUGGUGGGUACAAAGCCUCUAGAUUUUCAGGCAGGGCGUGACCACCACCUCUUCACACUGGAUACUUGCUGGCCAGCUGGUUUCCUGAUUCAGCUCAUUAUUUUUCAAAUUACCUGAUGUGUGUAGACCUCUGGUUUUCAGUCUUCAGUAUAUAGCAAUGUUAUGAUUUAAAUGUAUCCCCCGAAAGUUUAUGUGCUGGAAACUUGUCAAUGUAACAAUAUUAAGAGGUGGAGCCUUUAAGAGUUGAUUGGGUCAUGAGGGCAGAGCCCUUAUGAAAGGAUUAAUGCCAUUAAUGAAAGAAUUAGUUAGUUCUACUGAGACCAGAUUGUUACAAAAGCAAGCUUGGCUCACUCUUGUGAUCUCUUUUGCACAUGCUCACUUGCCCUUUUGCUUCUGUGGCAUGUUAUGAUGUGGUACUAAAGCCCUUGCCAGAAGCUGCCACCAUGCUCUUGGGCUUCCCAGCCUCCAGAACCAUGAGCCAAAUAAACGUCUUUUCUUUAUAAAUUACUCAGUCUCAAGUAUUCUGUUAUAGCAACAGAAAACAAAGACAGAAAAUUGCUACCAAGAAGUGAAAUUGUUGCUAGAAUAAAUGUCAGAAAAUGUGGAAAUAGCUUUGGAACUGGGUAAUAGGUAGACACUGAAAGAAUUUGGAGAAAUAGGCUAGAAAAAAAGCCUGUAUUUCUGUGAAUGCAGCAUUAAGGACAGUUCUGGUGAGAGCUGAGAAGAGAAGAUUAGGGAUAAUCUGAAACUCUUAAGUGAUUGCUUAAGUGGUCACAAUUGGACUGUCAGUAGAAAAAUGGACAGUAAAGGCAAUCCUGAUGAGGUCUCAGAGGGCACUGGGAAAUAACAUAUCAGAAAUUGGAGUAAAGGUCAUCUUUGUUAAAACAUAGCAAAGAAUUUGGCUGCACUGUGUCCAUGCCUGAGGGCUUUACGGAAGGCAGAUUUUAAGAGUGACAAUCUAGGCUAUCUGGCAGAAGAAAUAUCUAAGCAGCAAAGCACUCAAGCUGCUGCACAGCUACUUUUAACUGCUUAUAGUAAGAUGCUAGAGAAAACAAAUUAUUUAAGGAUGGAAUUUAUAAUUAAAAGGGAAGCAGAGCAGAAAAACUUGGAAAAUUCUCAGCCUGGCCAUGUAAAAAACUAUAAAGCAUGCCAGGAUGUGGCCAGGCAACCAUUUACUGAAGAGAUUAGUACAGAUAGAAGGAAACCAUGGGCUGUUCCUCAAGACAAUGGGAAAAAAGACCCCAGAGGCAUUUCAGAGAUCUCCAAGGCUGCCCCUCCUAUCACAGGCUGAGCUCUAGGAGGGCAAAAUGGUUUUAGGGGAUAGACCCAGGACACCCUUCAUUGGAUUACUGCCCAGGGCUGUCUCAGGUCUCUGCUCUCUGCAUCCCAGCACGGCACCCCUUGGCUGUGCUAGCCAUGGCUUGAGGAGGCCCAGGUGUGGCUCAGGCCACAGCUUCAGAAGAUGCAAACAGCAAAUUUUGGUGGCAUCCACAUGAUGUUAAGUCUGCAGGCAUGGAGAAUGCAAGAGCUGUGAGAACAUGGCUUCCUCUAUCUAGAUUUAAAAGGUUGUCACAAUCACCCAGGAGGCUGGGAUUACAGGGAUGAGCCAUUGCGCCUGGCUGAGGAAAACUUUCUAAGACAGAUGGGAGAGUAACAUUAUUUGUGAAGAUGUUGUCUUUGAUGAACGGUUGGCAUGGACUGUGAAACUGAUGAACUUAAUUUUUACCAACUAUGAACACCCAUAAUCCACAUUCACCUGAUUCUAAUUAGUUAUGUUUAACUUUGGGGCUGGGUGCUGUGGCUCAUGCCUGUCAUCCCAGCACUUUGGGAGGCCGAGGUGGGCAGAUUAACUGAGGUCAGGAGUUCGAGACCAGCCUGGCCAACAUGAUAAAACCUCAUCUCUACUGAAAAUACAAAAAUUAGCCAGGCAUACUGGCAUGCGCCUGUAAUCCCAGCUAUUCGGGAGGCUGAGGCAGGAGAAUCGCUUGAACCCAGGAAGCGGAGGUUGCGGCGAGCUGAGAUCGCGCCACUGCACCAAGACUCCAUCUCAAAAAAAUUAAAUAAAUAAGUAAAUAAAUUUGGUCAACAUACACACAUGCACACACACACAGACUUCUGUUUUGGAACUUAUGACAAAUGAUAGCUUUUUAAAAUUUUUUUCCCUACUUUUUAACUUUCUUCUUAACAGUUUUGGUUUCCGAUAAACAAAUCAGGAGGUUGAAAGAUUUGGAUCGGCCACAGAAAUUACAUUCCAUUUCUAGAGCCAUUUCACCAGCUGCACCUGCAAGUCAUAUUAACUAGCAAAUGGCAAAACUGGUAAUGAAACUCCAUGCACAUAAAAAAACUGACAUCUGAUGCUGAUAGCAUUCUCUUAAUAAAUCACCUCUCUCAGGCCGGGCAUUUACUACAAAAGGAUUGCAAGACCCAGAGAAUGACAACAUCUAUUAUAGGUUGAACUGAAUCAGGGUACUAAAGAGCUAAAAAGGGUAGCUCCUCUGCAAUGAAGCCAAUGAAAUGGUUGAAGAGGCAAGAGAAUCUGCUCUUCUUAUAAAGAGAUGCCCUAGAUCAAUCAAUUAGCCUGUUCCUACCAGUUACUUUUAUGAUAGAUGCUAUGCAUUGCCUUGCUCUUUACCCACUCCAGGCCCCUGUGAAAGUUGCAAGGCCAGAAAGCUGAUACCACAUCUGCCAAUCGUCUGCAGUGCAGCUCUCCAUGUGCUUUGGGCACUUCCAGUUAGAUGCAUGCACACAAAACUUUGAUCUAGAACUGAGUCACAUGGGGAUAAAGGCAGGGUACAGGCACUCACUUUGCUGGUGUAGACUGUAGCAGAGAGGCGUGGAUUUGCACCUGGAAGCCUCAGGUAUCUUCUAUACUACUUUUUACUUCUAUGAAAUCAACUUUUUAUAUACUUUUUAUUAAAGAAGUUCUACAAAAUUGCAUAAACAUAGGCCCUACAAAACCUGGAUCCAUCUGUAAUAUCAGGCAUCCCUUUGGAAGAAUAUUUUUGCCGCAAUGUCCUCUAGAAGGAGUUGAGAAGCAGGAGAAGAAAAGACAUGAGGCCCUAGCCUUCCCCAGGUUGGUCCUGGUCCUGCCUUGAUCCCUGGAACACUCCUGGAGUAACCUACAGAGAAAGAGAGGAAACUGUCACUAAACCAAUCCUCUCCCAAUUUCGGAUCAACUUCUGGAACCAAUAGUUUGUUGCAUGAUCGUAGGAAAUUUGACUUACGGAUAAAAUAAAUGAGUAUAGGAAGUAGCUUUUAAACUGUUGUUGUUUUUUUUGUUUUGUUUUGUUUUGUUUUUUUUAAUAUGGUACACAUAAAGUCUUCUAUGACCUUGGAAAUUUUAGCCUGACUCCAUUCUGGCAAAAGAAAACUUACUGUGUGAGAAAGGUUUUUUCAAGGCAAAAACAUCAUUCUGAUGUUUGGGUUAGUCAUCCAAUUGCUAAUAUUUGUAUAAUUAACUCAUUUAAUUUGCCACUGAAAAGCUACCUUUGUUUACCUGCUGCCAUGAUGCUGGGCUAAGUCUCAUGUUGUAAUAUCAUAAUCUUCUAGGUGCAACACAGAGAGUGGCUUCUCUACUGGGUGGUCAUUGUAGAGGAUUAGCAUCUAUCCCUCCUCAGGUACAUAGUGUAAGAUGAUCAUGGCAUUUCCUUUUCCCCUCCACUGACUCAUUCAAAAAUGGGCAAGUCUCGACUGUUUGAGCUGGUGGAAAUGUGGAGUCUUACCCAGGGCUUCUGGUAAAGAACCAAUCUCUCCCUCCCCUGGUGAUAGUGAACACAACUACUUUUGGCAGCUGGUAUUAAGUCAGAGCCCCAUCAAAAUUUAGUUGCCAUACUCAAAUUAGAAUAAUUCAAGAAUGAUUUAAUAAUAAAAGGCAUUCAAGGGCAUGAGCAGGGUACAGUGAAAGCACAUAGGACAAAGCAGCACACUAGGACACGGAGCAGGAGAACCAUCAUCACAUCUGUGUCCAAAACCACAAUGAGCAGGGUUACCAGAACCCCAGAGAAAGUCGCAUAGAGAGGGCCACUGGAGGGGAGCUGUGAACUUGGGUUAUGAAAAGUGGUCAAUCCAGCCUGACUGCGCAGGGAAGAAGCCAGAUGAAUAAGUGCCCCAAAUUUAUUCUCUUAUUUCUGUUCAAGUUCCGCAAGCAAUCCCCAUUAGCUGAAUCCAAACAGAAGCCAGGGUGUAAGGGAUCUUAUUCAUGUAAGCCAUACAAGUCACAGAGCAGAGAAAGAAGUCCAGAGAGGAGCCUGAAGGAAUAACUGAGUGUUCAAGACACCAGCCUCUUAUGACUUCAGGAGGAGUCACCUGAGUGUGAAACUGACACUGUAGAAGUCAGAGCAGAGUACCUGGGUACAUGAAGACAAGGAACACUAAAGUCUGCCCUAUCUUGGACUUCCUGCUACUUGUGCCACUUCCUAUGCAAACAAAUGCCCCACUCCUAAUUUCUGAAGAUACUGUAAGAAUGACUUGAGAGAUUUUUGCACAUCCAGACGCCAAGCUGCAGUGCACCUAGGAUGCCAUGUGGAAGCCAGAGCCGCACCUCCCGCGUGGCCAUUCAGGCCAGCCGGGUAUCUCACAUGAGAACCGCACUCAUGGCUGGGCGUGGUUGCUCACGCCUGUAAUCCCAGCACUUUGGGAGGCCAAGAUGGGUGGAUCACCUGAGGUCAGGAGUUUGAGACCAGCCUGGCCAACAUGGGGAAAUCCUGUCUCUACUAAAAAUACAAAAAUUAGCCUGACAUGAUGGCACGCGCCUGUAAUCCCAGCUACUCAGGAGGCUGAGGCAGGAGAAUCACUUGAAUUCAGGAGGCAGAGGUUGCAGUGAGCCGAGAUCUCACCACUCCACUGCACUUCAGCCUGGGUGACUGAGUGAGACUUGAUCUCAAAAAAAAAAAAAAAAAGAACUAAAGAACUACAGCCAGGCCAGCACCAGCAGCUCAGCUGCCAGCAGCGGCAUCCCCCUUUGCAGCUGGCCCUCCUGCUGCUGGGCCCAGGCAGCCAGGUCUGAUGGCCCGGAUAGCAACCACUGGAGCUGGCGUGGGGUACACGGUGGGUCAUACCAUCACUGGGGGCUUCAAUGAAGGAAGUAAUGCUGAGCCUGCAAGUCCUGACAUCACCUACCAGGAGCCCCAGGGAACCCAGAUGUCACAGCGGCAGCAGCCUUGCUUCUAUGAGAUAAAACCGUUUUUGGAGUGUGCCCGGAACCGGGUGACAUAAAGCUCCGUGAGGGUUUCAGUGAGGUGCUGAAACAGUGCAGACCUGCAAAUGGAUUGGCCCAAUCGAGAAGUUCAAAUUGGAGAAAUGGAAAAUCAGCUCUCAUAACCAAGUUAAUUUAGUAUAAAAAUAUAAUUAAUAAUGAAGAGAUAAAGAGUAACCAUCAGUUAAACCUCUCAGGUGUCAUUCAUAGCUUUCUUCCUUCAGAAUUAAAAUGGAAGACGCUGUUCUUACUAUGUAGAAUUUCAUUAAGAUGGUGAGGAAUUUAGGGCUGGGCCAAUGUUUGUGUGGCCUCCUUAAACUAGCUGUUAUGAUUUUAUUCUGUUAAACUAGCUGUUAUUAUUUUAUUUGUGUGUUACUUAGAAUAAAGUGAUCGUCUUCCAAAAAUAAGAAUGACUUGAGUUCCAAGCCUUAUGCUAAUAGUAACUGAUUUCUUUUAUCCUGAUUCUAAAGUUUUCUCUAAUGAGACUCUUGAGUGUUUUCAUUACAGGUCUCAUUCACUGGCCCUUAUUGUAAAACUCUUCCUGGCUGAGCGUGGUGGCUCUUGUCUGUAUUCCUAACACUUUCGGAGGCCACGGUGGGAGAAUUGCUUGAGGCCGGGGGUUUGAGACUAGCCUGAGCAACAUAGGGAAAUCCCAUCUCUACAAAAAUGAAAAGAAUUAGCCAUGUGUAGUGGCAUGCACCUGUGGUCCCAGCUACUUGGGAGGCUGAGGUGGGAGGGUCACUUGGGCCUGGAGGUGGAGGCUGCAAUGAGCUAUGAUUGUGCUACUGCACUCCAGCCUGGGCGACAGAGUGAGACCUUCCUUCUCAAACAAAACAAAACAAAAACAAAACCUCCUGUCAACCAAGCUUGCUAUCUUAGGGACCAGGAGUUAAUUAAUCUGACAGUUCUAAAAAAUACAAACUACCCCCAAUAGCGACUAGUAAACACUGAACAGAAUUUUGCACUCACCUUUGAAAGAUUAUAUUGCAGGAACUUACCAGUUCCUCUUCAUCUUAUUGUCAGAUCAUGAUCCUACUGCCUGGUGACAUAAAACCUUUCAAAUUGAAGGGGGUAUGGAUGGUAUAUAAAUGCUAAUGCCCUUAGGAAUGCUUUCAGAUGCAAGUAACAGAAAGGUAACAAAUACAUUUAAAUAGCUAACAAGCUGUCCAGAGGUGGGCUGUUCCAGUUCCAUUUAGGGAACAGGAGCUCAAAAUGACAUCAAGGAUUCAGGCUCUUUUUAUAUUUUUACUCUGCCAUCUUUAGUACAUUGGCUUAUUAUCCAGUCAUCUUGUCACUUCUUGGUUACAGAAAGAUCAAUGCAGCUCCAAGCAAGUUAUCCUUACUUAGUUACUUCUAAGACAAGAAGAAAGCUUUGGGGUGCAAAGGACUUUUCAUAAAUCUCUAUAUUUCUAACCAGGAAGAAAAUCUGUCAAUGCUGCUUCUUGGUUAGCGGAGGGAAAAAAAAAAUAUUUCCGAGAUACCUCCCACCCCCUGCCAACACAUUUUACGUUACAUCUUUUCAGCCAGAAAUUGGCCCCCCUGCCAAAUGUUAGAACAAACAAUAGCAAGGGGGAACUGAAUGACCGUGACUGGCUAAGAUCUAUGAGAUUCAUUCCCUGGAGUUCACCACCUGCCUUGAGUUUUAGAGAUCCUAACAAAAUCAGGAUUCUGUGGUUUGCAAGGAGAAAGUGGUUAUUGGAUGAGCAAGCAACAGUGCCUUUCAUAAUACCUUUCCCCUCUCAUUCUGCUAGCAAAAUUGGACUGCCUCAUCAGAGGAGGCAGAAUGAUUUUUGUCGUGUUGUAAUGUCAGCUCAUUGGAAAGGCUCUCAGGAAAAUAGGUCACCAGUGCACUUUCUCUGCACUAGGUAAUAGGAAAAAAUAAAGAGAAAAAACUGAGGUGGCAGGGACAAGUGACUUGAUAGUUUUAAACCUUUGCUUCAGCAGGAGAGGCUUUAACUAAAGACUUUUUAUGCCAAAUGCCUACUAGAGUGAGACUAAUGAUGUACCAACCUCUAAACAUUCAGGUUUAUGAGUCAAUUAGAACAAAUGGCUAAGGACAUUUCGGAUUUUGCUUGAAUUUCCUGCACAUGCAUGUGCCACAAAAUCUUAACAAUUCCAAAUGGCCCUAUUAUGUGACCAUGUAUGCAUCUCUGUUUAAACAGAUAUGAAGUAAUGACUAAAUUAGUUACUUACUUGGUUGGCAUUCAUCUGAAUGUGUCUUUCCAAUAGAUCACUACUUUAUUCAGAAUUAAAUACCAUAAAUUCAAAACUGCUCACUUGCAUAGUGUAAAGUUUGCUUAGAUGCUUUUAUCGAGACUAGCUCUUUGUCUUUUGAUGGAUCAAAGCUAUUUUAUUCAAACUGAAUACCAGCUGCAAACAGUGGCUCAUGCCUGUAAUCCCAACACUUUUGGAGGCCAAGGCAGGAGGAUUGCUUGAGGUAGGAGAACCUGAGCCACAUAGUAAGUCCCUGACUCUACAGAAUAAAAAUAAAUAAAUAAAUAUCUGAAUACCAGUUUGAUCAGUGUUUUGCUAAAAUGUUUUAAUUAUUAGAUACAUGUUCUAACCUAAAUAUAACUUUCUAACAGGUAUUGCUGCAUUGCCAAGAACUCAGAGAAGUUACUCUAUGGAGUACUAUUAGCAUAACUCAUGUAAUGUUUAAACUUGCCUUGGACUGAGAUGUUCAUGCUGGCAGAUAUUGUGUAGUGAUAACAGCCAAUAGAUACAGAUCACUUACUUGAGGAGGCAUUGUACCAGGCAUUUUCCAGACAUGUGCUCAUUUAAUUCUUACAAGUCUGGGAAAUAGGCAUUACUUUCAGCAUUGUUAUGUAUGAGGUUAACUUUUUAGAAAGAUUAUUUAAAUAUUCUGUGGUCAUUUUUAUCAUAAAUUUAAAAAUACUGUAUUGUUAAUUGUCAAAUAUUUUGAAGCCAUCAUUAUAAAGCUGUUAGACUGAAUCAGGUAUUUUAAAUUUGUUGUAGUCCAUGGAGAUUACAGUUAUAAUUUAUUUAGUUUGUUUAGACUAUUAAAGUUCUUUGAUUACAAACAAGAGAAACAGAUUCGAGAUAACAUAAGUAAACUGAAACAUAUUGGAAGGGAGUAGCUUACAGAAUCAAAGGUGAACAACUGGAUCAUGGGAAGAAUAAGAAAUAGAGUAAUUUCCAGCAUCCAGAUGGCAGGCAUGAGUGGGCCCAUUUCUUCAGGAACAUGCCAGAGGGAUGAUCAGCUCCAAUCUCUUCCUGAUCGCCUGGCUCGCAACUGGAAUUUGUGAGGUUGAAUCUGAUUGGCCUCACUUGGGCCACAUGACACUGUUUUUCAGGGGAGGACACGAAUCUUGAUUAUUGGCACAAACUAGGAAAGGGGUAAUUCCCCAAGGAAAAAGAAAGGUGCUGCUUCCAGAAAAGAGUGGGUGCUGGGACUGGGAAAAACACCAGAUGUCCAUUACAAUAUGUGACAGAGUUGUGAUUCAAACCUCAAACCACUGGCUGGGUGUGGUGGCUUAUGUCUGUAAUCCCAGCACUUUGGGAGGCCAAGGUAGGUAGAUCACUUGAAUCCAGGAGUUCAAGACCAGCUUGGGCAACAUGGUGAAACCCUGUCUCUAUUAAAAAAAUAAAAUAAAAUAAAACUUCAAAUCACUCCAAAAUUCUUUUCUCUUAAUAAUUUUCUUAUUUUUAAAAUCAUUCAUAGGCAAAAUAAUCCUAAUGGAGCAAAAUGAGAUAAAUAUACAAUAAUUAUUAUAUAUAGCUUGGCAGUGCUAUAUGCAAAUUCAGUGAUAGCAGUGCUCACAGCAAGGUCUUGGGGGAAUUCAAUGGCAGGUCCUGCUGAUGGUUUUGUCAUCUUCUCUGCUGGUCUCCAUUAUGCCACAACCCAUUUGGGAAACCGUUUAGCAGCCAGACUGGCGCAAUCAACCAAAUCUGGGAUCAAUGAGCUGUCUCAUUUCUUAGCCCAAUUGCGGAAGUGUGUACUUCCUAUUUUUAGUGGGCUGACUCCAGAAAAUUAACAUUAUUGCUACUAUUAAUAUCAUCCAGAAGUUUCCUUAGUGGUUCACUGUUUCAAUAUUAGCCCUUGGAAACAAAAUACCACCUUAUAUUUUAAAAUUUCCAAGUUCCUUUUUGAAGACAAGACUUAUUUUUGCACGGAAUUCCCAUAGUUUCUAUGAAUGUCUGAAGAGACAACUUAGGUUAUAAAAUUUUGCUUUCGGCCAGGCACGGUGGCUCACACCUGUAAUCCCAGCACUUUGGGAGGACGAAGUGGGUGGAUCACAAGGUCAAGAGAUCGAGACCAUCCUGGCCAAUACAGUGAAAUCCCG